rnacentral:rRNA from 1 species
GGUUAAGCGACUAAGCGUACACGGUGGAUGCCCUGGCAGUCAGAGGCGAUGAAGGACGUGCUAAUCUGCGAUAAGCGUCGGUAAGGUGAUAUGAACCGUUAUAACCGGCGAUUUCCGAAUGGGGAAACCCAGUGUGAUUCGUCACACUAUCAUUAACUGAAUCCAUAGGUUAAUGAGGCGAACCGGGGGAACUGAAACAUCUAAGUACCCCGAGGAAAAGAAAUCAACCGAGAUUCCCCCAGUAGCGGCGAGCGAACGGGGAGGAGUCCCAGAGCCUGAAUCAGUGUGUGUGUUAGUGGAAGCGUCUGGAAAGGCGCGCGAUACAGGGUGACAGCCCCGUACACAAAAAUGCACAUGCUGUGAGACUCGAUGAGUAGGGCGGGACACGUGGUAUCCUGUCUGAAUAUGGGGGGACCAUCCUCCAAGGCUAAAUACUCCUGACUGACCGAUAGUGAACCAGUACCGUGAGGGAAAGGCGAAAAGAACCCCGGCGAGGGGAGUGAAAAAGAACCUGAAACCGUGUACGUACAAGCAGUGGGAGCCUCUUAAUGGGGUGACUGCGUACCUUUUGUAUAAUGGGUCAGCGACUUAUAUUCUGUAGCAAGGUUAACCGAAUAGGGGAGCCGAAGGGAAACCGAGUCUUAACUGGGCGUUAAGUUGCAGGGUAUAGACCCGAAACCCGGUGAUCUAGCCAUGGGCAGGUUGAAGGUUGGGUAACACUAACUGGAGGACCGAACCGACUAAUGUUGAAAAAUUAGCGGAUGACUUGUGGCUGGGGGUGAAAGGCCAAUCAAACCGGGAGAUAGCUGGUUCUCCCCGAAAGCUAUUUAGGUAGCGCCUCGUGAAUUCAUCUCCGGGGGUAGAGCACUGUUUCGGCAAGGGGGUCAUCCCGACUUACCAACCCGAUGCAAACUGCGAAUACCGGAGAAUGUUAUCACGGGAGACACACGGCGGGUGCUAACGUCCGUCGUGAAGAGGGAAACAACCCAGACCGCCAGCUAAGGUCCCAAAGUCAUGGUUAAGUGGGAAACGAUGUGGGAAGGCCCAGACAGCCAGGAUGUUGGCUUAGAAGCAGCCAUCAUUUAAAGAAAGCGUAAUAGCUCACUGGUCGAGUCGGCCUGCGCGGAAGAUGUAACGGGGCUAAACCAUGCACCGAAGCUGCGGCAGCGACACUAUGUGUUGUUGGGUAGGGGAGCGUUCUGUAAGCCUGCGAAGGUGUACUGUGAGGUAUGCUGGAGGUAUCAGAAGUGCGAAUGCUGACAUAAGUAACGAUAAAGCGGGUGAAAAGCCCGCUCGCCGGAAGACCAAGGGUUCCUGUCCAACGUUAAUCGGGGCAGGGUGAGUCGACCCCUAAGGCGAGGCCGAAAGGCGUAGUCGAUGGGAAACAGGUUAAUAUUCCUGUACUUGGUGUUACUGCGAAGGGGGGACGGAGAAGGCUAUGUUGGCCGGGCGACGGUUGUCCCGGUUUAAGCGUGUAGGCUGGUUUUCCAGGCAAAUCCGGAAAAUCAAGGCUGAGGCGUGAUGACGAGGCACUACGGUGCUGAAGCAACAAAUGCCCUGCUUCCAGGAAAAGCCUCUAAGCAUCAGGUAACAUCAAAUCGUACCCCAAACCGACACAGGUGGUCAGGUAGAGAAUACCAAGGCGCUUGAGAGAACUCGGGUGAAGGAACUAGGCAAAAUGGUGCCGUAACUUCGGGAGAAGGCACGCUGAUAUGUAGGUGAAGUCCCUCGCGGAUGGAGCUGAAAUCAGUCGAAGAUACCAGCUGGCUGCAACUGUUUAUUAAAAACACAGCACUGUGCAAACACGAAAGUGGACGUAUACGGUGUGACGCCUGCCCGGUGCCGGAAGGUUAAUUGAUGGGGUUAGCGCAAGCGAAGCUCUUGAUCGAAGCCCCGGUAAACGGCGGCCGUAACUAUAACGGUCCUAAGGUAGCGAAAUUCCUUGUCGGGUAAGUUCCGACCUGCACGAAUGGCGUAAUGAUGGCCAGGCUGUCUCCACCCGAGACUCAGUGAAAUUGAACUCGCUGUGAAGAUGCAGUGUACCCGCGGCAAGACGGAAAGACCCCGUGAACCUUUACUAUAGCUUGACACUGAACAUUGAGCCUUGAUGUGUAGGAUAGGUGGGAGGCUUUGAAGUGUGGACGCCAGUCUGCAUGGAGCCGACCUUGAAAUACCACCCUUUAAUGUUUGAUGUUCUAACGUUGGCCCCUGAUCGGGGUUGCGGACAGUGUCUGGUGGGUAGUUUGACUGGGGCGGUCUCCUCCUAAAGAGUAACGGAGGAGCACGAAGGUUGGCUAAUCCUGGUCGGACAUCAGGAGGUUAGUGCAAUGGCAUAAGCCAGCUUGACUGCGAGCGUGACGGCGCGAGCAGGUGCGAAAGCAGGUCAUAGUGAUCCGGUGGUUCUGAAUGGAAGGGCCAUCGCUCAACGGAUAAAAGGUACUCCGGGGAUAACAGGCUGAUACCGCCCAAGAGUUCAUAUCGACGGCGGUGUUUGGCACCUCGAUGUCGGCUCAUCACAUCCUGGGGCUGAAGUAGGUCCCAAGGGUAUGGCUGUUCGCCAUUUAAAGUGGUACGCGAGCUGGGUUUAGAACGUCGUGAGACAGUUCGGUCCCUAUCUGCCGUGGGCGCUGGAGAACUGAGGGGGGCUGCUCCUAGUACGAGAGGACCGGAGUGGACGCAUCACUGGUGUUCGGGUUGUCAUGCCAAUGGCACUGCCCGGUAGCUAAAUGCGGAAGAGAUAAGUGCUGAAAGCAUCUAAGCACGAAACUUGCCCCGAGAUGAGUUCUCCCUGACUCCCUGAGAGUCCUGAAGGAACGUUGAAGACGACGACGUUGAUAGGCCGGGUGUGUAAGCGCAGCGAUGCGUUGAGCUAACCGGUACUAAUGAACCGUGAGGCUUAACCUU